CUGACGCUAAAGCUCGAAAGGUGCGGGUAUCGAACAGGAUUAGAUACCCUGGUAGUCCGCACGGUAAACGAUGGAUGCCCGCUGUCGGCGACAUACUGUCGGCGGCCAAGCGAAAGCGUUAAGCAUCCCACCUGGGGAGUACGCCGGCAACGGUGAAACUCAAAGGAAUUGACGGGGGCCCGCACAAGCGGAGGAACAUGUGGUUUAAUUCGAUGAUACGCGAGGAACCUUACCCGGGCUUGAACUGCAGGAGAACGAUCCAGAGAUGGUGAGGCCCUUCGGGGCUCCUGUGGAGGUGCUGCAUGGUUGUCGUCAGCUCGUGCCGUGAGGUGUCGGCUUAAGUGCCAUAACGAGCGCAACCCCUUUCGCCAGUUGCCAUCAGGUGAUGCUGGGCACUCCGGUGACACUGCCACCGUAAGGUGUGAGGAAGGUGGGGAUGACGUCAAAUCAGCACGGCCCUUACGUCCGGGGCUACACACGUGUUACAAUGGGUGGUACAGAGAGUCAGCGGCCGGCAACGUCCGCUCAAUCAUGAAAGCCAUCCUCAGUUCGGAUUGGGGUCUGCAACCCGACCCCAUGAAGCUGGAUUCGCUAGUAAUC
rnacentral:rRNA from 1 species